rnacentral:rRNA from 1 species
CCUACGGGAGGCAGCAGUGAGGAAUAUUGGUCAAUGGGCGCGAGCCUGAACCAGCCAAGUCGCGUGAGGGAGGACGGCCCUACGGGUUGUAAACCUCUUUUGCCGGGGAGCAACGGGCGUCACGUGUGGCGCCCCUGAGAGUACCCGGAGAAAAAGCAUCGGCUAACUCCGGGCCAGCAGCCGCGGUAAUACGGAGGAUGCGAGCGUUAUCCGGAUUUAUUGGGUUUAAAGGGUGCGUAGGCGGAUCGUUAAGUCAGUGGUCAAAUUGAGGGGCUCAACCCCUUCCCGCCAUUGAAACUGGCGCUCUUGAGUGGAAGAGAAGUAUGCGGAAUGCGUGGUGUAGCGGUGAAAUGCAUAGAGAGCACGCAGAACCCCGAUUGCGAAGGCAGCAUGCCGGCUUCCGACUGACGCUGAAGCACGAAAGCGUGGGGAUCGAACAGGAUUAGAUACCCUUGUAGUC